rnacentral:rRNA from 1 species
AUGUAUAUCCUGCCGGAGAGCGUCCAUGGUGACUUCGAUCGGGAUCUGGCGAGGUUCUUUUGGCAGGCUUCCGAUGGCCGCCCAAAAUACCACAUGGUCAAGUGGGUGGAUAUCUGCUUGCCCAAGGAGAGGGGUGGACUUGGUAUCACGGCCUCUCGCCGCAUGAAUGUCGCAUUCAUGCAGCAUUGGGUUUGGCGGAUCCUACGAGGUGAGGACCGGCUAUGGCUACAGCUGAUUCAGGCAAAAUACCUUUGGGGUGAGCCUCUCUUGGCUUGCUCUCGUAUCGCUGGGUCCCAUUUCUGGAAAUCCAUCUAG